ACGGAGGGGGCUAGCGUUGUUCGGAAUUACUGGGCGUAAAGCGCACGUAGGCGGCUUUGUAAGUUAGAGGUGAAAGCCCAGAGCUCAACUCUGGAACUGCCUUUAAGACCGCAUCGCUUGAAUUGUGGAGAGGUAAGUGGAAUUCCGAGUGUAGAGGUGAAAUUCGUAGAUAUUCGGAAGAACACCAGUGGCGAAGGCGACUCACUGGACACAUAUUGACGCUGAGGUGCGAAAGCGUGGGGAGCAAACAAGA
rnacentral:rRNA from 1 species